ACAUAUAGUAUCAUUGUUGUCAUUGUGCCUUGCUUGCUUUUUUUUUUACUGCUUUGCCACUGAUUGAGCUGAGUAGGACCACAGACACACUAAAAUAGGACAAUGUUUUUUUACUGCACAAGCAAUUAGGUGUCAGCAAUACAACAAUCUUGCAUUGAUAUGGGUAAACUGGAAAUAAGCAGACUGCCAGUGCAAAAGGAGGCCAGGGCAUGACAUCUUUUUGACUACAUAAUGGAUGGAUAGUGAUUGUUGAGAAGGCUGAGAGAAGUGAUAUUCCUGACAUCGACAAGAAAAAGUCAGUUCUCAACUUCUCUACUAGAUAUCUGAAAAUUAUUUCUACUUAGGCUGAGAGGUGAUUGUAUGGACUCUUUUGUUUAAUCUCGAUGUAUGAGCUCAUAUGGUUAAAUUUUGCUGCUAUAAUUAUAUAUUAUAUAUGUUGUACAAAUUAUGCAAUAUUAUUAUAUGAAAA